CCUGCAAUAUAAAUUAACCUAUCUCUGUGUCACUACUUACAAUCCCUCCUUUGAAAAUGAAAUCCAAACCCUCUCUCUUUGUCCUUUAUCUUAUUUCUUUUUCUUCACUUUAUAAAUCUCCAAACCCUUUCCUACGGUUGGAUUUAGAUCUCAUCGUUGCUAUAUAUAUAUGUAUAUAUAUACACAUAAAUAUACAUAUAAUAUUCAUAUCGUUUCCUUUCUUCUCUAGUUAGCUUUUUUUUCAUAUCUUUCUUGCUAGUUUUAAUGUUCUUUUUUCACCCUAGGGAUUUGGUUCUUUUUGUUCAAGCUCUAUGUCAAUAAAUCUACUUUUCAACAUGGGGUUUUUUCCAUUAUGAAAGAGAAAUCAGAGUUUCAUAAGAUCUUUUAUACAAUCAGCUUAGCUUCUCAUCAUAUUUUUGCCAGUUUAAUUCAUAGGAACUCUUUUUUUUUUUUUUUUUUAAGUUCAUAAAAGGAAGGAAAUUAGUAGGGUUUUUGUGGUUGUUUUUGUUAUAAAGAUGAAUAGUCUCAACUGGUUAGAUUCUUGUUGGGUAGAUCUCACGUAAUCAACUUUAUGUUUCAGCCACUGGUAAUAAGCCAGAUCAGCUGGUCCUAGCCAGCUGCCCCCUCUUUGAUGCUAAGAGUACGAACAUAUUUUCUUCCAAGAAAUUAUAUACAAAAAAUCUUUUUCCUGUUUAAUUUUCUUUUUUUUUUCUUGCUGAAGCUUUUCCAUGAUUUUAGGCUCUUUGGGGUCAUACUCAAACUUUUAAUCUUCUUUUUCUUUUAUUUCCUCCCCUUUUAUAUAAAUCCCAAAUUUGUAUAUAAUAUGUGUGUGUGCAUGGGGAUAUUUGGAUAAGUAGAUAGAUUGACAGUCGUUGUUUGCAGGAGUAGCAUCAUCAAGAUUCACAUGCAAAUUACAUUGCUAAAAGUUCUUUGAAACUGAGAAUCUUGAUGAUGCUGCAUCGGCAAUAAACGACUACACAAAAGAGAUUAAAAGAAAAGAACCCUUUAAUUCCUGUUUUAUUUCUCCUCAGUUUCAAAGGAUACAGUUUUCGCCACUUCACAACAUCAACAAGAACAAGAUGAGAAAAAAGGCACUUUUUUUCUGUUGUUGUCAGAUAGGCAAAGAAGCACUCUUACAGAGAAAUGAGUAGUUUUAGGUUUUGUUUCUUUAUGGAAUUUGAUGAUAUCAAAUAAAUAGGUUACUGCAAAUUGGUUCUUUCCUCCAUAUCUUUGUCUUCAAAUAGAAAUUUUAAGGGGAUUCUUCCAAGUGGAUUUUUGUAUUAAAGAAUUAGUAGAUAUUGUUGAAUAUUGGAAGCUUUCAAGAUCAUAAAUGAUGUAGGAACUAGGAAUUAUGGGACACUGCCAUUGGCCAUUUUUUUCUUUUAAUAUUGUUAGUGGACCCUUAAAACAUUUUAUCUGUCUCUAUUCAGUUCAUAGUUCCUAAAAUUUGCUUCCUUCAGUCAUGAAAAUGAUAAUCCACUCUAGAAAUUUAUGGAUAUAUAUAUAUGAGCCCUCAAUCGCUUUCUAAGCUUUUAUACUUAUAUUCUCUGCUACAUGCAUUAAGGGUUUUUCUCUUAGUUCAUAAAAGGAAAAGAAAAUAAUAGGUAUUCUUUUCCGGGUGUAGCAUCAUCAAGCUUAACAUGCAAAUGCAUGGAGGUGAUGAAUAAUUAUCUUGCUCAGCCUCUUCGUUUUUUCGUGUUUGAUGCUGGUGUACGAUACACCGAUAUGAGAAUAAGACCUCCAAAAGUCCUUCAAAUGUAUAGAAAAAAAUAUAGAAAAACUAAUCAUAUCUAUAUUAAACACGUAUACAUUUUCAAUACUCACACCAAAACUCAAUAUACAUAUUCAAUACUCGCACCCGAACUCAAAUAACUUAGGUAAAAAAGUUGAAAUUUGAUCAUUUUUGUUGCAAAAGUACUUUGAAAUUGAGAAUCUUGGUGAUGCUGCACCGGCAAUAAACGACUACAGAAAAGAGAGGGAAAAAAAAGACCCUUUAAUCUUUUCCCCUUUUUUUCUCAGUUUAAAGUUACCCACUUUGCACUUCACAGCAUCAGCAAGGACAAGAUGAGAGAAGACUCUUUGUUGUUGUCAGGUGGUAUGUGUAUAUAUAUAAAUAUAUUUGAUGCAUAUAUUCAUACUUCAAUGUUAAUGUUUGGGGGUAUUAUUCUUUCAUAAUGAUAAAAAAGGGUAUCUGAAUAUCUCCAUAAGUAAUGUUUUAUUUGUUUUUUUUUACAUUGCAGGGUAAGGUAACUGUGUCUUAAAAAAAGUGCUUUGUUGUGUUAUAUUUGUAGAUGCUAUUAAAAAUAAAUUAGAUCCCUUUGUUGCUACAUUGCAGAUGUAAUGAGCUUUUACUAAAGCCAACAAGAUGGUUUGCUGAUGUUUCCAUCCCAUGAGAGUGCUUUGGAGUUGGAGGUGAGAGAAAUGGGGUUUUUUUAGAUUUGCUUAUGGGAUUUUGAUGAUAUUCAGAUGACUAGGUUACUGCAAGUUCUUUGGUUCUGGAAAUUAGUAGAUAUCGUUGAAUAUUGGAAACUUCAAUGUGGAAGAGAAGGUAUGUAUGUAUGUAUGUAUGUAUGUACGUAUGUAUGUAUGGGGUUCUUCUCUUCAGUUUGCUUAUAGGCCUUCUUAUAUAUUGUUGAAUAUUUCAUGCACUAGCAGACUAGUUUACAAAAUAUCUGCAAAGGGGGUUGAUUGAUGUAUUUAGUAAUUGCUUGAUCCUUUAGUGUUAAAAAAGUGAAGUAUAAAUAGAUGAAUGGAUAUUAGAAAAUUGAAGUCUCUGCAUCAUUGAGAUUGACGGUUCCCAUUCAAGAUUUUCUCCGUUACUUCAAAAGAUAGCUAGCCAUGGAUGCAUGAAUAUGUACUGGUUCCACCUAGUACACACUUGUGCAGUUGUACACGUAUCCACUUGUUUCUCCUAAACUUAUGCACCUAUACAUAUAUACUGAUAUACACUGCUUUGAUCCUUUAGUCUUAAUAAUGAAUUGCUGGACAUUACGUUUUUGCAGUUAGGUUCACCCAUCAUGAAGGAACCUCGCCAACUUACCAAUUACUAGAACGUGAACUAGAACUAUUAGUUUUUUCCAAUUUAAUUUCACAAUAUAGUCUAUGAAGACAAGACCUUCCAUAAACUCUAAGCACACGUGCUGAAGAUCCGUCAUGACUUAGCAGCUUACUGCAAGAACCUUGACAUCUGGCUCCUCCACCACCACAUCAAACCUAUAACUUCCCCUUAGCUAAGAACCACUGACAAGAGACUUCAGUUGUUGUUACUCUACCGAAUUUCCCUCAGAUUUCAACUUUCUACAACUUCCAGCACAACUGUGUCAACCGUCUUCAACUACUCCCUGGUAUCAACACACACACAUAUAUAUAUAUAUAUUUAUUUGUGUACUGUCCUACAUGAGUAUUAUGUUUGGGCUGUCAAAGACAAAAACCUAUAUAGUUAUCACAUGGUAAUGGAAUUUGAUGUGUUAACCACUGCUAACAUAUGCAUUAGUUCAGUUGAUAUGAUGCCAUUGUAACAUCGUUGAAACAUGCUUAAACAAGCUCACUUGCAUGAUCAA